rnacentral:tRNA from 1 species
GGCCCGUUCGACUAGUGGUUAGGUCACCACCCUUUCACGGUGGUUGCACGAGUUCGAAUCUCGUACGGGUCA